GACGAACGCUGGCGGCGUGCUUAACACAUGCAAGUCGAACGGAAAGGCCCUGCUUUUGUGGGGUGCUCGAGUGGCGAACGGGUGAGUAACACGUGAGUAACCUGCCCUUGACUUUGGGAUAACUUCAGGAAACUGGGGCUAAUACCGGAUAGGAGCUCCUGCUGCAUGGUGGGGGUUGGAAAGUUUCGGCGGUUGGGGAUGGACUCGCGGGUUAUCAGCUUGUUGGUGGGGUAGUGGCUUACCAAGGCUUUGACGGGUAGCCGGCCUGAGAGGGUGACCGGCCACAUUGGGACUGAGAUACGGCCCAGACUCCUACGGGAGGCAGCAGUGGGGAAUAUUGCACAGUGGGCGGAAGCCUGAUGCAGCAACGCCGCGUGCGGGAUGACGGCCUUCGGGUUGUAAACCGCUUUCGCCUGUGACGAAGCGUGAGUGACGGUAAUGGGUAAAGAAGCACCGGCUAACUACGUG
rnacentral:rRNA from 1 species